UGUUGAAGCUUUGCACCCAGGGUCUGCAAGUGAGACAAUGUACCUGGAGCUUUAUUUGUUGUUAAUAAACAUAAUU
rfam:Xenopus laevis strain J chromosome 8L, whole genome shotgun sequence.